UGAGGAAUAUUGCACAAUGGGCGCAAGCCUGAUGCAGCAACGCCGCGUGAGGGACGAAGGCCUUCGGGUUGUAAACCUCUUUUCUGAGGGACGAGGAAGGACGGUACCUCAGGAAUAAGUCUCGGCUAACUACGUGCCAGCGGCCGCGGUAAAACGUAGGAGGCGAGCGUUAUCCGGAUUUACUGGGCGUAAAGCGCGCGCAGGUGGCUUCGUUAGUCGGACAUGAAAGCUCCUGGCUUAACUGGGAGAGGCUGUUCGAUACUGCGGGGCUUGAGGUUGGGAGAGGGAUGCGGAAUUCCCGGUGUAGUGGUGGAAUGCGUAGAUAUCGGGAGGAACACCAGUGGCGCAAGCGGCGUCCUGGCCCACACCUGACGCUGAGGUGCGAAAGCGUGGGUAGCAAACAG
rnacentral:rRNA from 1 species